AUUCCGGACGCCGGGACCGGCCAUUACUGGUGCCGGGUCGGGCUUCUCCAGAUGCCGGGGCUGGGUCCCUCCAGACGUUGAGACGAAAGGAUGCCACGGAGAAAGAAAAAAGUUAAAGAAGUCUCCGAAUCUCGGAACCUGGAGAAGGAGGAUGUGGAAACUACCAAUUCUGUCACUGUGAAGAGGAAGCGUAGACUUGAGGAUGCAUUCAUUGUGAUAUCCGAUAGUGAUGGAGAGGAACCAAAGGAGGAAAAUGGAUUGCAGAAAAUGAAGACAAAACAGUCGAAUAGAGCAAAGUGUUUGGCCAAAAGAAAAAUUGCACAGAUGACAGAAGAAGAACAGUUUGCUCUGGCUCUCAAAAUGAGUGAGCAGGAAGCUAGGGAGGUGAACAGCCAGGAGGAGGAAGAAGAGGAGCUCUUGAGGAAAGCCAUUGCUGAAAGCCUGAAUGUAAAUAUGCCAUGUUGCCAAAGUUUGUGGAGAUUGAUCAGCAAUAUUUUCGACUUCUGUGGUGUUGUAGUUGCAUUAGGAACUAGCUGUAGUCAUUUAUAGGGUUUUCACCUAACAAAAAUUCCCAUAGUAAUUUUUUAAAGUCUGUGUUGAAUUGUUGGUUAACCCAAUUUGAAGUAUUUUGUUAAUUCUGUAUGAAAGAGUUUUCUUCCACCCCAUGGAUUUUUCAGUUCAUGGUUGAAAGAAUUAUCAUAAGUUGACAGCUUCUGAAAAGACUUACUGAAUACCAAGAACCCAAAAGGCAGCAAGAUAAGAUGCUAACUUCUCUAGUUUUGUGGGAGAGCAAAGGGAAUGAGAACUAGAGGUGGGUUAUGGGAAGAAAGAAAAAUUGUCAUUUGAAUAUGCACAACUGAAUUUUUUUUCUUUUUUUUUUUUGAGAUGGAGUCUCACUCUGUUGCCCAGGCUGGAGUGCAGUGGCACAAUCUUGGCUCACUGCAAACUCCCCCUCCUGGGUUGAAGCAAUUCUCCUGCCUUAGCCUCCCAAGUAGCUGGGAUUAUAAGCGCCCACCACCCCACCCAGCUAAUUUUUUGUAUUUUCAGUAGAGACGGGGUUUCACCAUGUUGGCCAGGCUGGUCUGGAACUCCUGACCUCAGGUGAUCCGCCUGCCUCGGCCUCCCAAAGUGCUGGGAUUACAAGCAUUAGCCACCUCGCCCAGCCUGAAAUGAUUUUAAAUGUGAAGGAUACUUGCCAGUGGCAGGUCCUGAA
rnacentral:sRNA from 1 species